AUUGAACGCUGGCGGCAUGCCUUACACAUGCAAGUCGAACGGCAGCACGGGAGCAAUCCUGGUGGCGAGUGGCGAACGGGUGAGUAAAGUAUCGGAACGUGCCCAGUCGUGGGGGAUAACGUAGCGAAAGUUACGCUAAUACCGCAUACGAUCUAUGGAUGAAAGCGGGGGAUCGCAAGACCUCGCGCGAUUGGAGCGGCCGAUAUCAGAUUAGGUAGUUGGUGGGGUAAAGGCUCACCAAGCCGGCGAUCUGUAGCUGGUCUGAGAGGACGACCGGCCACACUAGGACGGAGACGCGGCGCAGACUCCUACGGGAGGCAGCAGUGAGGAAUUGUGGACAAGGGGCGAAAGCCUGAUCCAGCCAUGCCGCGUGCAGGAUGAAGGCCUUCGGGUUGUAAACUGCUUUUGUACGGAACGAAAAGGUUUGGCCUAAUAAGCUGAGCUCAUGACGGUACCGUAAGAAUAAGCACCGGCUAACUACGUGCCAGCCGCCGCGGUAA
rnacentral:rRNA from 1 species